rnacentral:rRNA from 1 species
CNNCCUUUUGGGUGNGAUUUUGUGGAGCGUGAGGAGUUAAACGCCUUCNUGCCUGCAUAUUCGUGCACUUUGGGUGUACUUGCCCGUGUGUAAGUUAACAUCNAUUUUGGUGGUCAUAAAAUGGCUGGAGGAAUGUANCUUCNAUCUUGUAUUGAAGUGUUAUANCCUUCNGUANAUGUGACGAUCGGGAUUGAGGAUUGCAACGGAUACCCUUCNGGGCUACCUGUCUGAUCUCUGAUUGUUGCUCUGGUACCGAAAGCUUGCUUACGGUUAUCAAAGUCNAUGGUUAAUANGUUANAACGGGUUAAAUUCNUUAANGAUGUUGACGUA